rnacentral:rRNA from 1 species
UACAGAGGGGGCAAGCGUUAUUCGGAAUUAUUGGGCGUAAAGGGCGCGUAGGCGGCUUGGCAAGUGGAUGGUGAAAUCCCUCGGCUUAACCGAGGAACUGCCGUCCAAACUGCUUAGCUUGAGACCGGGAGAGGUGAGUGGAAUUCCCAGUGUAGCGGUGAAAUGCGUAGAUAUUGGGAGGAACACCAGUGGCGAAGGCGGCUCACUGGACCGGUACUGACGCUCAUGCACGAAAGCGUGGGGAGCAAACAGG